rnacentral:rRNA from 1 species
CUACGUGCCAGCAGCCGCGGUAAUACGGAAGGUCCGGGCGUUAUCCGGAUUUAUUGGGUUUAAGGGGAGCGUAGGCCGGAGAUUAAGUGUGUUGUGAAAUGUAGACGCUCAACGUCUGACUUGCAGCGCAUACUGGUUUCCUUGAGUACGCACAACGUUGGCGGAAUUCGUCGUGUAGCGGUGAAAUGCUUAGAUAUCACGAAGAACUCCGAUCGCGAAGGCAGGUGUCCGGGCUGCAACUGACGCUGAGGCUCGAAAGUGUGGGUAUCAAACAGGAUUAGAUACCCUGGUAGUCCACACAGUAAACGAUGUAUACUCGCGGUUUGCGAUAGAUUGUAAGCCGCCAAGCGAAAGCAUUAAGUAUACCACCUGGGGAGUACGCCGGCAACGGUGAAACUCAAAGGAAUUGACGGGGGCCCGCACAAGCGGAGGAACAUGUGGUUUAAUUCGAUGAUACGCGAGGAACCUUACCCGGGCUUGAAC